AUGAAGGAAAUAAAUGGGAGAAGAAUCUGUUACAAGAUUCACAAAUAUUAUUUUUCUUAAUUUGUUGGCUAAAUUAGGCUAUAAAUAGGACACAAAGCAAAUAAACAUCAUCAUCAAACACCUACACAAAUUACUUUCAAGUAGCUUAUUGAGCGUUACACCAGAUAUUAAGAUAUGACUUCCAAAGUGUUGGCUUUUCUUCUCAUCUUUAUGAUGAUAGGACUCUGUGUUUCCCCAAAGGCCGAAGCAGUUGACAUUCCCGAGUGUUGUUGCUCUUCAGACGCAGAUUGUGCAGAUUUAUGUAAAGUCCCUGUCUAUUACUGCAGUGCUCCAUUGUGUCUUUGUGGGCAUCAGCGGCCUCCUCAAGGUCAAAUUGCAGAAACUACUGAAAGCAUAAAUUGAAGAAUUAAAAUUUCAUGGACCGAAAAUAUAAAGGAACAAUAAAAGUUGAGGUACUUUGAUUUUCCUUUCAAAAUAUAUAAUUGGAAUUCACUUCCAGUUUCUAUGGAACUUGCAACAAGGCAUUAGCCAAAUAAGAAAAGCUUUUACUGUUUUA